rfam:Oryza sativa (indica cultivar-group) chromosome 6, whole genome shotgun sequence.
GUCUCUUCGGAGACAUCCGAUAAAAUUGGAACGAUACAACAAAGAUUAGCAUGGCCACUACGCAAGGAUGACACGCACAAAUGGAGAAAUAGUCCAAAUUUUU